rnacentral:rRNA from 1 species
AGAUAGAAAGUUACUUCGGUACAUCGGUGACAGGUGGUGCAUGGUUGUCGUCAGCUCGUGUCGUGAGAUGUUGGUUAAGUCCCGCAACGAGCGCAACCCCUAUUGUUAGUUGCCAUCAUUCAGUUGGGCACUCUAGCGAGACUGCCGGUAAUAAACCGGAGGAAGGUGGGGAUGACGUCAAAUCAUCAUGCCCCUUAUGACCUGGGCUACACACGUGCUACAAUGGUUGGUACAACGAGUUGCGAGUCGGUGACGGCGAGCUAAUCUCUUAAAGCCAAUCUCAGUUCGGAUUGUAGGCUGCAACUCGCCUACAUGAAGUCGGAAUCGCUAGUAAUCGCGGAUCAGCACGCCGCGGUGAAUACGUUCCCGGGCCUU